CACAGAGAAGGUUGGGCAGUGAAACCAUCAUCUGGAAAUCGGUCGGGUCAUGGGAGUUUUGACGUCAUCAUAUCUGAAACUGAUACUUAUUUGAAGUACAAGUCAGGACAGUGGUUAACCUCGCACAUGAGGUGGUCAACUAUGGUAUGGAAUCAGGAGAUGGAGUUUGAUUGAUGGACAGCAUAACCUGAUUGAUGGCAGAUGGGUAAACAACUUGAAUAUUGCGAUGUCUGUAAGCCUCGCUGUGUCUGUGAGAAGAAUCUGAUAAGGACGCAUGGUUACCAGAUUCCUGUUUUGAAGAAGUCUGGAUGGAAGCCUCAGAAGUUGGAAUGGAGCCAGAAACUGGACUUAAAGGGGCAUAGUCUCCAACGUUCAGGUCUGCCACCAGAAUGGAGUAGUCAACCACAUAAGAUUACGGGAGGAAGGGCUGUCAACAUAGAGACUGACUGGAGUGUCCAGCCCCAUGCAAAUUUGUUUGGAGACUUGGUGAUGUAUGAACUAAGGGGAAUUUCAUAUUGUGGGGUGCUGUUGUGAACAGACCAAUUUGGGGUUAACAAUUGUAAUAUAGUUUGUACUUCUAUAAAUUUGUAAUUUAGUAUGUAUGUAAAGUUGUCUUUCUUCCUUUCUUUUAAGAUAUUUAUACAAAAUGUUUCUUUCUUUUAAUAAAGUUGUCUUUAUUUCA